rnacentral:rRNA from 1 species
GACGAACGCUGGCGGCGUGCUUAAUACAUGCAAGUCGAGCGGAUGGAAGGAAGCUUGCUUCCUAAAGUCAGCGGCGGACGGGUGAGUAACACGUGGGCAACCUGCCCCUAAGAUCGGGAUAACUUCGGGAAACCGGAGCUAAUACCGGAUAUGAUUAUGUCUCACAUGAGACAUAAUGGAAAGACGGUUUCGGCUGUCACUUAGGGAUGGGCCCGCGGCGCAUUAGCUAGUUGGUGAGGUAACGGCUCACCAAGGCGACGAUGCGUAGCCGACCUGAGGGGGUGAUCGGCCACACUGGGACUGAGACACGGCCCAGACUCCUACGGGAGGCAGCAGUAGGGAAUCUUCCGCAAUGGACGAAAGUCUGACGGAGCAACGCCGCGUGAGUGAAGAAGGUUUUCGGAUCGUAAAACUCUGUUGUUAGGGAAGAACAAGUACCAUAGUAACUGAUGGUACCUUGACGGUACCUAACCAGAAAGCCACGGCUAACUACGUGCCAGCAGCCGCCGUAA